rnacentral:rRNA from 1 species
UUUCCUCCCGAGUGCUUGCACUCAAUUGGAAAGAGGAGUGGCGGACGGGUGAGUAACACGUGGGUAACCUACCCAUCAGAGGGGGAUAACACUUGGAAACAGGUGCUAAUACCGCAUAACAGUUUAUGCCGCAUGGCAUAAGAGUGAAAGGCGCUUUCGGGUGUCGCUGAUGGAUGGACCCGCGGUGCAUUAGCUAGUUGGUGAGGUAACGGCUCACCAAGGCCACGAUGCAUAGCCGACCUGAGAGGGUGAUCGGCCACACUGGGACUGAGACACGGCCCAGACUCCUACGGGAGGCAGCAGUAGGGAAUCUUCGGCAAUGGACGAAAGUCUGACCGAGCAACGCCGCGUGAGUGAAGAAGGUUUUCGGAUCGUAAAACUCUGUUGUUAGAGAAGAACAAGGACGUUAGUAACUGAACGUCCCCUGACGGUAUCUAACCAGAAAGCCACGGCUAACUACGUGCCAGCACGCGCGGUAAUUA